AUUGAACGCUGGCGGCAUGCCUUACACAUGCAAGUCGAACGGUAACAGGUCUUCGGAUGCUGACGAGUGGCGAACGGGUGAGUAAUACAUCGGAACGUGCCUAGUAGUGGGGGAUAACUACUCGAAAGAGUGGCUAAUACCGCAUGAGAUCUACGGAUGAAAGCAGGGGAUCGCAAGACCUUGUGCUACUAGAGCGGCCGAUGGCAGAUUAGGUAGUUGGUGGGAUAAAAGCUUACCAAGCCGACGAUCUGUAGCUGGUCUGAGAGGACGAUCCGCCACACUGGGACUGAGACACAGCCCAGACUCCUAGGGGAGGCAGGAGUGGGGAGUUUUGGACAAUGGGCGCAAGCCUGAUCCAGCAAUGCCGCGUGCAGGAUGAAGGCCUUCGGGUUGUAAACUGUUUUUGUACGGAACGAAAAGCCCUGGGUUAAUACCCUGGGGUCAUGACGGUACCGUAAGAAUAAGCACCGGCUAACUACGUGCCAGCAGCCGCCGUAAAAC
rnacentral:rRNA from 1 species